AGGGACAAGAUGGCUCUGGGCAUGAGUCAUGGCUGUACGCUGGGAAGAUUCCGAUGGGAACCUUGCUCUUGCUGGUUGAUCCAGACCUUACAUGGACUUGAGGCCAAAGAGUCGCUUUACAUGCAGCCUUCAGAUGUCAUUUUCCCAGUGAAAAAUCCCUGCGCCAGAGCAGAUGUUCCCUGGAAGCAACACCGGAGUCUUUCAGGAGCCAAGGUGAAUGAACUGUAAGACUGAUUCUUGAAGUUUUCCACAUUAAAACCAUUUCUGUCAUUGUCCUUGGCACUGGUUCUAAAAAAGUGUUCUAUAGCCUUGCUUCUCAGGCUUGACCUGUGUACAGAUCUCCUGGAGACUUUGUUAAACCUCAGACUCUGUUUCAGUAGUUCUGGGGUGGGGGGGCUCAAGUUUGUGCAUUUCUGACCAGCUCCCAGAAGAGGCUGAUGCAGAUCCAUGUUGAUUUCUGAAUCCUACUCGGAGUAGCAGGGGGAUACAGAAAGUGGGUCUUGCAAGAUGCUGUCCAACACAAAGGGUCUCUGGCCUGAUAAGUUCAAGAAAAAAAUAGGUUGCAUUUUUACCUUCCUCUUCAAAACCCUGCAAAUGAAUAAAUUAAAGACUCUGAGAAGAUCUUCCUGAGGAAGUCUGAUACAAAACUAACAGACCAUAGAACCAUAUUAUGGUAUGCCAUGCUAUCUCUUAAGAACCUAGGGAACUUGAUUUUUGUGAAAGGAAAUAAACGUCUGUUGUGUGGUCUCCAUUCAAAUAUUUGUCCAGGCACUUAAGCAGAUUGAAGGGGGGGGUUAGAAAAUGUUUGACCUUCUUUGUAGUGACCCUGGUAACCCUUCUCAGGUGAGUGUCACUUGUUCUCCAAAUGAGCAAGGUUACAAGUCAGGCUCCCGAUAUCCAUGGUAGAACAGUACAUUUUCCACCUAGAGUUCUGGUAUUUGAAGUGUAUGGUGCUCCCUUCAACCAGCUCAAAAAGUUGUUAGAGGUUUAGCUGCCACCGUGCUCUUGUCAAAAGAUGAGCUGAGAAAGUGAUACACGAGAAAGCUAGAUGAGGGGAAUUUAAAUCCCUUCAACCAUCUUAAAUUGUUUGCAAACUUCCAUGUGUUUAUGUAUCAAUCCUCUAAUAAGUUCCCAGGAAGAUUCCUGAACCUUUGCUCCAGAAAUGGUCAUCUUUUGGGUCUUAGGUAUAUUCUAAAAAUCUUCAUUUUAGUAAGCAUUCCAAGAAUUUUCUGAUGCAGGUUCUUUGAGGACCACAUUUGUAGAUUAAGUCCUGUUUCCUUAGAGGCAGAGCACAAGAAACUGGCCCAAAACAAGCUUCCUUGUUUUGGCUCUCUAAACAUGCACCUUUGUGAGUCAUGUUUUCAUGCUCUGCCCUGGAUUUUUGUGGAGGAUAUAUAUAACUGCAUGGGAAAACAUUAGCAUUUUCUCUAAAACUGUUAUUAAAGAUAUUGUCAUUAUAUCAGAAAAUCAGAAAAUUCUGCAAAAAGACUCUACUGACAGAGAAUUACAGCGUUGCUCCUGCAGUUUGGGGUGUAAGCUCAGCAGAAGAGCACACUUCUGGAUGUGUUUUAUUGUAAAAGCAAAUGAAAAGUUUGCUCCUAUGUCAUGACACGUAUUUGUAUUAACAUAAACAUAUAAACAUGUUAAUUUUACCCCAAAUUGUUAAGUUGGUGUUCUAAGUCAUCUGUGCCUUUAUGUUUACCCUUGACAUGUCACCAUACUCCUGGGAUAUUCCACAGCUUGAGAAUUGUAGCAGUAUAUCUUGAUUAGGGUCCCAGAAAUAAUCAAUAAAUGGGUGAAGAUUGUCAAAAGGUGCAAUUGCCAGUUAUGAGAUCAAUCAGUCCUGGGAAUGUAGUAUACUGCAUGGUGACUGUAGUUAACAAUACUGUAUUGUAUAUUCCAAGGUUGCUAAGAAAGUAGCUCUUAGAAGUCUCAUCAAGAAAGAAAUGUGUAA